rnacentral:rRNA from 1 species
UACAGAGGUCUCAAGCGUUUGUUCGGAUUCAUUGGGCGUAAAGGGUGCGUAGGCGGCGCGGUAAGUCGGGUGUGAAAUCUCGGAGCUUAACUCCGAAACUGCAUUCGAUACUGCCGUGCUUGAGGACUGGAGAGGAGACUGGAAUUUACGGUGUAGCGGUGAAAUGCGUAGAUAUCGUAAGGAAGACCAGUGGCGAAGGCGGGGUCUCUGGACAGUUCCUGACGUGAGGCACGGAAGGUCAGGGGGAGCAAAACGGGG